rnacentral:misc_RNA from 1 species
CUCUCUACUCCAUCGUCAAACCCACAGCAAAGAAUAUCAACCCUCCAGUGAGCUUCUUGAUUUUUUUGAUCACCUUCUUCAGCAAUGCAUCGUUGUUGAUCGCUGCAAACAAAUCCAUACCCAUGUCAUCGUCACUGGUUGCUGUUGCUCUGCUUUCUUGGCUGCCCGUAUUAUAUCUGUCUAUGGUCGUUUUAGGCUCCUCUUUGAUGCCC